UACAAAACCGCUUGAUUGCGACAUGUAGUCGCACGCGAUUUUUUAUCUAUACAUUUUUAAAUAAAAUUAAUAAUUCAUACAAAUUAACACCAUGAUAUUGUUGACAUUGCCGCAGUUGUAACUGUCUAUGUUAAAAAAUACAAAGACUUUCUACAGCUGCGGACUAUUUCGAACACAUAUUUUAUGGCAAAGUCAAUUCAACCGAUUCAAAAUACUGACAUUUUUAAGUAUACAGUUAAUGUUUCUUUUAUAAACAUUAAUAUUCACCGUAAAUAAGAACAUAUUAUAAAUGGAGUACAUACUGUUAUAACAAUGCAUAAUAUAUAAGUCUCCAUUUCAAUGUUUUGUCUUGUCGAAAUUAUCUUCUCAUUUAAUUUAUUUUUAAUUUUAAUUGUCUUCAACAUAUUAAUCGAAUUAUUCAAGUAUUCAAAGGUUUAAAGCAGAUGAAUUUAAUAAUGUUUUUUAUAGAUAUUACUUAAUUAUAAUAAUAAUAUUUUUGCAAUGCAACUUAACUUUUUUUUUUUACUGUACAGCUUAACCUUUUUUAUUUUUCUAUUAAUAAUCUAUUAUUUUAACAUUUUUAAAUUUAUUUUAAUAAACAUAUAUAUAUUUUUACUUAAAAAACAAUGAUGCAUAAACAAAAUAUAAUGUAAUUGCAUUUUAAAUAUAAUUAAAAUAUUGGAAAACCAAACUAAUUUAAUGUUCGACGAGACAAAAUUUAGUCUUAAACGCUAAAAGACCGAAUCCAUUUUAAAUCCACAACAUUUGCAGUCUUAUAAGUUAUAGAUGUAUCAGAUGUAGAAAAUUGUGGUAAGAAGAUUGCGAUGCGAGCCGUUGAAAAUGUGGUGGUGUAUUAUUCAAGGAUGCAAUGGCGUGUUCAGCUUUUUUGAAAGGAGGGAAUGAAUUUUUUGCUAUUCUUAGACCAAUGCAGCACUACCUACUUUCGCUAAACUUUCAUUGCUACAUCAUUAUAUGAUAAAAAUAAGCCAUACGACACCCCCUCCCCUUUUGAAGGACGGGGGGCGGUCUGAUCCUCUUGUGGCCUGCAGCCUCAUUUUUUUAAUGCCAUCACACGGUGCUCAUAUAGGAGUUAAAAUUGGAUAGUGGAUACAUGAAAGGUGAUAUCAACUAGCGUGCAACUGUGCACUCGUAGAAUGCAUAUUCUAUAACUUUAGUAAAGAGACCGAAUCAAUGUCAGAUGGAUUGCCACAGCGGAGGUGUUUUUCAGUUCAAUUGGAGAUUUAAAAUAGCUGACGUCAGACAUUAAAAUAAUUUUAAGAGGACGUCGUCGCACCCGCAUGCAUUGUCUCCGUCUUACACACGUACGACCUAGCACGUUUUCGUUCACUAGUCUCAAUAGAGUGCUGUUAGUUUUUAUACUAGAGUGAAUUGACCUAUUGUUAUCAUCAAAGAUUUAGGACAGUAGUGUUCGAGGGACGUUUGGAUUCGACAAACUCAAAAUAAAAAUACAAAUGGAGAAAUUCGGACCGGUCGAGGAAACUUCAAAAGAAGUUCAUCCGUCUAGAAAGUGAAAAGGAGGGAGAUAAUAAGAUGAUUCAUAUCUACUGAGCUACAGUCGACCUAACCACAUAACCAAGACAGAGAUCAUAGACAAAAUCUCAGCGAGGCGCACAAAUGCUCAAGUCAAUAAAGAUUCUUUGAUGUGAAUUAUGUAGCCACGACUAGACUAUGGCUCAAAGCAUAUUUGAUAAUAUGUAUGUAUAUACAUAAUAUAUAUAUAUAUAUAUAUAUAUAUGAAUAAUACCGGAAUUCAACGUGGGACCAGCAGAAACUAUCGUGACAAUGUCGAUAAAACAUAAUACCGAUGUCUCGGUGUCUGAUCUCCGUCACAUCUGGCUCUGAACCAAUAGGUCAAGGUUAUGUACCGCGACUAACUACUUAUAUACUGUAUCUAUGCAACUAGACCUGCGUUCCAAUAUUCCAGGUGAUACUCAAAUUGUUUUAAUAACAUUGACCGUUUUCAGACGAUUUGCUUCGGGAGUCGAUUUUGCCACAAGAUAAAAACAUCGGACAAAGGCAUGUUUUUUUCAAAGGAUCCGAAACCCAAUUAAAUUUUGAAUAUGAUUUAAUAUUUAAAGGACCUUCAAAACGCGUUUCAUGCAUGAGUGCCGACCAGUGAACGCGCGAUAUGUUCAAAGGUCGUCCGCAAUAAUGACCGAUAACUAUUUUAACAACUGUACAAUAUUAUAAUAUUAAUGUUUAGAUAUACUAGAAUAAUAAGUGGUUUUGUGUUUUUUAUUUAUAGUAAAAUAAUAUUUAAGUUCCCAUAAUAUGUGUUUGUUUAAAUGCAUGUCGAUGCACAAUAUAAUCAAAUGUAUUAUGAAAUAUGCGGUGUUGUAAAAAAUAAUUUUUAAAAGUAUUCAAGUACUGCAGAUACACACUUUAUAAAAACAUUUAUAGAUAUUUUGAAAUGCUUUGAAAUUGUAUGCAUAUUAUUUUUGUUUUACCUUAAGAAUCAAUCAAAUCAAAUUGUUCAGUAUUUGCAUGUUUAUUAUGAAGCAUUAAUUUACACAGUAACAUACUAUCAUUUGGUAUAAUUAUUAUAAAUUCAGUCUUCUUAGUCGAGGAUUGAGUUUUUGGAUGGGUACAUUUUAGUUUCACAAAAAAUAUCUAUAGUGCAUAUUAUUAUAUACUGGCCUAUAAAGAGUAUAUUGGUAUUUUCAAUUGAAUAAUUAUUUAUAUUGAAUACGUUUCUGAAAAUGUGAGACGACUGAUAUACAAAUAACUAACUUUUGUCGAAUUCGUAGUAUUUAAUAUUUUCAUAGUAAAUGAAUAUAUCAUUUCUAUCCAUUUCUCAUUUUUGUUUUACACCUCGAGUUUGAAUUGAAAAUAGAAAA